GGAUUAGAUACCCUGGUAGUCCACGCCGUAAACGAUGAGAACUAGGUGUAGCGGGUAUUGACCCCUGCUGUGCCGGAGCUAACGCAUUAAGUUCUCCGCCUGGGGAGUACGGCCGCAAGGCUAAAACUCAAAGGAAUUGACGGGGGCCCGCACAAGCGGUGGAGCAUGUGGUUUAAUUCGACGCAACGCGAAGAACCUUACCUGGGUUUGACAUCCUCUGCCAGCCCCGGAAACGGGGUCUUUCCUGCUUGCAGGAACAGAGUGACAGGUGCUGCAUGGCUGUCGUCAGCUCGUGCUG
rnacentral:rRNA from 1 species